rnacentral:rRNA from 1 species
CGCCUUGCCAGCCCGCUCAGAACUCAAAGGAAUUGACGGGGGCCCGGCACAAGCGGUGGAGCAUGUGGUUUAAUUCGAUGAUACGCGAGGAACCUUACCUGGGCUCAAAUGUAUGUUGACGUAUUCUGAAAGGGAUACUUCUUCGGACAAUAUACAAGGUGCUGCAUGGUUGUCGUCAGCUCGUGCCGUGAGGUGUCGGGUUAAGUCCCAUAACGAGCGCAACCCCUACCUUUAGUUGCCAUCAGGUUAAGCUGGGGACUCUAAAGGAACUGCCUACGCAAGUAGUGAGGAAGGCGGGGAUGACGUCAAAUCAGCACGGCCCUUACGUCCAGGGCUACACACGUGCUACAAUGGCCGAUACAGAGGGCAGCUACCUGGUGACAGGAUGCAAAUCUCCAAAGUCGGUCUCAGUUCGGAUCGGAGUCUGCAACCCGACUCCGUGAAGUUGGAUUCGCUAGUAAUCGCGCAUCAGCCAUGGCGCGGUGAAUACGUUCCCGGGCCUU